rnacentral:tRNA from 2 species
ACCUGGCUGGCUCACUUGGUAGAGCAUGCCACUCUCGAUCUCGGGGUCGUGAGUUCGAGCCCCACGCUGGGUG